UCCUGCUCUAAGGGGAAAGCAAAGUUACCUAGAGUAAAAAAAAAUAAAAUCUGUCAGGUAUGGAACAGGUAGUUUUAUUCCCCACAAAAAGGAGAUGCCAAACAACAAAGAAAGAAUCAUAGAAUGAUUACAAUCAGUCGAGAGGAUAAUAAACAAGCUUCACUGGGCCAUUUACAAAGAGUUUCUGCUAAUUAGCCUUUUACAUUUCACCUCCAUUGAGUACAGCCCAAUCAAUACCAAGUGGGCUCCCUCUUUCCAACUCUCUCCUCCUUCCCUCUCCGCCCUCCCUCCUUCUCCCUCCACUGGAGUGCUUUGAUGGAUGCUACUCUGCUGUCUGGGUACCUUGGAAGAGGAAGACACCAGCUGUUUUUAGGAUCUUACAAAGCCUUUUACCAUAGGGAAAAAAGACACAAAAAUAGGCAGUUCCAUCACAAACACAGACUUGCCUAGAAACCCAGGAGAUCACUACGUGAUGCUGGGUAGAAGAAGGGGCACCCCUGCCACCACCCAACCCUCUAUAGCUCAGAGUUGUUGUAAUACUUCAAGGCCAACAAGAAGAAAAGGUCUGAGGAUUUCCCCUUUAGUAUAUCUGCAGUUCUAGCUAAAUAACCAGUGAAAAGACUUUUCCUCCCCACAAGUUUGAACCCAGUAGUCAUCACUACUACAAGGAAGAGGUCGGAGAAUAGCCUCAUAUUCUUUGAAGCUGGGAAUGGGGAAAGACUCCUCUACACAAAUGAUUACAGCUACCACAGAUCUCUAUGCCUUCGAAUGAAGUGUUGAUUAAACACGGCAUAGGGGGAAAGGAACAAGCAUUGAUUAAGUAACUACUACAUGCCAGGCAUUUUCCUAAGCAUUUUAUAAGUAUUAUUUCAUUUAAUCUUUAUAAUGACCCUGGGAGAUAGGUGCUAUUAGUAUCCCCAUUUUACAGUUAAAGAAACUGAGGCAGACAGACUAAACAACUUGCCCAGUCACAUAGAGACAAAGUGUCUAAGGCCAUAUCUGAACUCAGGUCUUCCUGACUCUAAACCCAGUACCCUGCCCAUUGCAUCACCUACCCACCUAUUAUCUGGAUAGAGGAUACAUUCAGAUCAAAGAAGACUUCUUGGUAGAAGUAACAGAGCUAACUUCAUUUGAUGGUCUUCCAAAUAUAAGAAAAGACAUAAACCAGGGAAAUAAAUGCUGGUAAAGGUGUUUGCCAUUGUAAUGAAAGAUGCCCAUUGCAAAAUGGAAGAGAGAUUCCCUAUAAGUGGUAAGAUCUUCUAUAUGUUCCUAUUAUUGAAUGACAUUAUGCUGAUUGCAUUAAACCUCAGAACUUCACUUCCCUGACCCUGCUAUGGUAUCCGUUAAUACUCAAAAGAAUUUAAUCCCACCAUGUUGUUGUUCAGUCAUUUUUGUUGUGUCUGAUUCUUUGUGAUCCCAUUUGGGGCUUUCUUGGCAAAGACACUGGAGUGGUUUGCCACUUCCUUCUCCAGCUCAUUUUAAAGAUGAGAAACUGAGGCACACAGGGUUAUACAGCUGAUAUAGCUAGUAAGUUUCUGAGGUUGGAAUUCGAACUCAAGACUUCUGACUCCUGGCCCAGCACUCUGUUUACUAAGCCACCUGACUGCUCAAGUAGGAGGUACUGCCUUGAGAGAAGAUGGGUUUCCUCCUAUUGUUUAGUCAUUUUUCAGUCAUACUCAACCCUUUGUGACCACAUUUGGGAUUUUCUUGGCAAAGAUGCUAGAGUGGUUUGCCAUUUCAUUCUCCAGUUCAUUUUAGAGAUGAGGAAACUAAUACCAACUGGGUUAAGUGACUUGCCUAGUGUCAAACAGUAAUUACCUGGGACUAGAUUUGAACUCACAAAGUUGAUUCUUUCUGAUUUCAGGCCUGACAUUCUAUCCAUUGUUCUAUCCAGCUGCUCAGAUCAUGCACAGAGGAAAAAACAAGGGAAUGAAAAAGACUGAUGGACCAUACUAAGAUAUGCAGUUGAACCAUUGAGAGGUUAGUCCCUCUGUGCAUAAUAUCUUGAACUACAGUUAGACAAUGAACUGGACCUAGAAUUAAGUGUGAUUAAAGGGCAAGCUAGAAUCAGUUUAAGAAAUUGGAGAGCAUUUUAGUGACCCAGGCAUUUGUCUAAAACAGAAACCCAACUUUUAUACACCAAUAUUCUCCUAAGGAUGCCAUAUUUUUAGCCUAUGAAUCAGAGAAUACUACAGUCUCCAGAGAAUCUUAAUUAAACUUCAUGAUGGACAUGAAUAGGCUUCAAAAUAUUAACUAGAAAGACUUGUGUCCAAGAAGUGGAAUAAAGAAUGUCAUCAAAGAAAGAUAAAGGAGGGAAAGCCAGAGCUCUAGGCUCAGAAUAAUCUCCUUGGAUUGCCAGCCCCUACAAUCUACUCAAGCCAGCUCACUUGGCAGCUUUAACUCAAAUCACAGGUAAUGAAUAUGGGGGUAAAGUGGCCUUUCCUCAAUAUUUGAGUCAAAUGCAAAAAUGGUUGUAUGUCAAACCUCAAGAUGAACUGAUCCAAAAUACUAGAAUGGCUAACCUGUGACGAUGGUCAGUGAGGAGGGUAAGUUGGGAAAAGAGCAAAGAAUUGAGUAUCAGAGAAUUCAGAUUGGGGAGUUCAAACUAAGUACAACUCAACUAAAUACACAUAUUUUGCAACACUAGGCUAGAAAAUAAGGAGAUUUGGAUUCUAGCCCUAGCUCUGCCACUUGCUAGCUGUAUGACCUGGGGUAAAUCAAUGUUAUGAUUCUAUGACAAAGAUAACCCUGAGGGUCAUAUUAUACAGCCCUAUAUCCCUUUGUUCAAGUCAACAUGUAAAUGAAUGAACAAAUCUUUGUGAAGAGAAACAAAUUUUAAAUAGUGAUCUCAUCCUCAGCCCUCUGAGGGUGCAAAUCAAUCUCACUUUCUCUUCUAGUGACUUUUAUUCAUGAAUUCCCUUAAAGGCUCCACAGAAAGGACUAUAUGAUAUGCUGGGGGUGAGACUUUAGCUCCCUUGAGGUCAUGUGGAGUCAAGAGGAGCAUAUGGGUUUUUCAUUGAUGAUUCAUUGCUACAUGACUAUUCCAUACUCCUUCCUAGUGUCAUCUCUUUCUGGUAACUUCCCUUUGUGCCUUUCACAUCAAAUUUAAAUUUCUUUGACUUUUGAGAAUCAAGAAAAACAUGAAAAUAGGAAUAAAUAUAGUCUGUUCAUGAGACAGUGGAGAGACUGCCCUAAUUGGAAUAGAGAAUUGGUCAUGGUGGCUGAGGAAAUAAGGAUAGAUUGGCAGAAUAGGGCCAGAAUAAGCAGGACUUCAAAAGUCAAAGCAAAGGAAUUUAAACCUGGUGUGGAAGGCAAUUGUUUUAGAUUUUUGCAAAGGAGAAUGAUGCACUAAAAGUAGUCUUAAAAACAGUGAUCUACUAUUGAUGUUUUGUAUGAAUAGAACACAAGAUGGCCAAGUUAAGAAUGUCAUUUAGGGAGUAUAAUAAUAAGGUUGAUAGAUGGUGAUAUCCACUAUAGGAAAUCGGGUUAGAUACUUAAUUGGCUGUCUGUAAGUACCUCAGUUCCCUUUUCUGAAGGGAAGGCAAAGUGAGCCUUCUUCACUGGGCCAGCAUACACAAACCUUGAAGACUAUUUUGUAUAAAAAGUAUCUAUGUUUAUUGAGAAACCAAGGGUAGAAUAUGAGGAUUUAAACAAAAAGAUGCCCUAGUUCUAAAUCCUACUAUUCCAACCCUUCAAUCUAAAUACAUCUCACGAUGGAGAUUUCAGGCCUUCCGGCUACUCUAUCCCUUCCUGGCUCUAGCUAGUUUCCCAUCAAAUCUUUCUAAUCUACCUGACUACAAUCCUGAGUUGUUGGUUUAGUUACUUAUCUCAGAAGUUGUCUCUAAAUUUACUAAGAAUGAACCCAAGAUGACUGAAUUCACUCAGAGCGGAGCCUGGCUCUGAGGUUGGAACCUCAGAGCCCAACAAACAGGAUCUUCAGGUAAAUCUCUCAGGCCGUGUUGGUAAAAAUAGCAGGUGAAGAUAGAUCUUCUGUAAGAUGUUCUCUCCAGUGAAAAAGGAACCUCCAAAGGGAGUUUAAAGGUUUCUCUUCUUCCACAAAAGGUUAAGGUAGAAAACUCAGAAAAGAGCAGCAGCCUUCCUCCCCCAACUCAGGACAGGAAGUGGCAGUUGUUCACUCAAACGCCUUCCUCCAGCUCCCUGUACAUUACAAGAUUCCUUCCAGGGCUCUUGGAAUGAACUCAUGUUAGCAACUCUGGAGACAGCAUCCAAUAUUCUUAAACUUAACCCUGCCAAAAUUCAACUUUCUAUAAUCAGAAGAAAUAUGAUAUGAUGAUUGCAUGGAUGAGAGUACUGUCAGUAAAGAGACAAGAGAAAGUAUUGGUAAGACUGAACCUGUGAUUUUAUUGGUAAAAAAACAUUUCUAAGGAAAAAAAUUAUAUGUAUUUGAUGACCAACUGGAUUAAAAGUCCAGUAGAGUAGGCAUCACAAAAAGAUGGGCUCCAGAUCUUUGGGAUUCCUAGGAUUUUUAUCCCAGAUACCUCAACAAUAAUUUUCAGAUAUCCUAUUCUCUCUUAACAGAGCACUAGUACAAAGAGUCUUGGGUUGGAAGUUUCAGGUGGUUGAUUAGAAUAUCAUUCUGCACUCUCUACCUAUGUUAGUCCUAACUGAUCUGGACCUCAUGUUCUUCAUUUGUAAAGUAGCAUAAGUAACAUCCUACCAAAGAAGGAUGAAGAUCAAGAUGAAGGCAGAAAAUGGAAAGAAGUGACAUGUCUACAGGUUGCUUAAUAUAGAUUCUCUCAUUUGAAGGUAUCAUUGGGUAAUGUGGAGAAGAGAGAAGUUAUAAGAGAAUUUAUAAGGCAUGAAGCAAGACAAGAAGCUGUCAGUCAAAUGAGGAUUCCAUUUGGAAUGUUACUGGAAAAAGCAGUUGGAACCAAGCCAAGGACCAGACUGGGCGGAGAGGCUUUUGGCUUUUGGCUUUUGCCUUCUGGCUGAUGGUGGUGGCUGAAGCUGAAGGGCUUUUGGCUUUUGCUGACUGGCUGAUUUAAAGGAGGAAGAAGAAAGACAGUUGUCCUCAUAUCUCUCUGACUGACUGUUUCACAAUUGUGACAGAAUUACCAAUACUCUUAAUAUCCUCCUAACCCUCAUUGUAGGGAAUAGGGAGAUCCUACUCCUCUUACCUUAUCCUCCAUCCUUGUCCUGUCUUCCCCAAAUAAACCCCUUGUCAAAAAAGAAA